AACGAACGCUGGCGGCAGGCUUAACACAUGCAAGUCGAGCGCCCCGCACGGGGAGCGGCAGACGGGUGAGUAACGCGUGGGAACGUACCUUUUGGUUCGGAACAACUCCGGGAAACUGGAGCUAAUACCGGAUAAGCCCUAACGGGGAAAGAUUUAUCGCCGAAAGAUCGGCCCGCGUCUGAUUAGCUAGUUGGUGAGGUAACGGCUCACCAAGGCGACGAUCAGUAGCUGGUCUGAGAGGAUGAUCAGCCACACUGGGACUGAGACACGGCCCAGACUCCUACGGGAGGCAGCAGUGGGGAAUAUUGGACAAUGGGCGCAAGCCUGAUCCAGCCAUGCCGCGUGAGUGAUGAAGGCCUUAGGGUUGUAAAGCUCUUUUGUCCGGGAAGAUAAUGACGGUACCGGAAGAAUAAGCCCCGGCUAACUUCGUG
rnacentral:rRNA from 1 species